rnacentral:rRNA from 1 species
UUGAUGGCGACCGGCGCACGGGUGAGUAACGCGUAUCCAACCUUCCCCAUAGUAGAGAAUAGCCCGGCGAAAGUCGGAUUAAUGCUCUAUGUUGUAUCAUGAGGACAUCUGAAUAAUACCAAAGGUUUACCGCUAUGGGAUGGGGAUGCGUCUGAUUAGGUUGUUGGCGGGGUAACGGCCCACCAAGCCCACGAUCAGUAGGGGUUCUGAGAGGAAGGUCCCCCACAUUGGAACUGAGACACGGUCCAAACUCCUACGGGAGGCAGCAGUGAGGAAUAUUGGUCAAUGGACGGAAGUCUGAACCAGCCAAGUAGCGUGCAGGAUGACGGCCCUAUGGGUUGUAAACUGCUUUUAUACAGGGAUAAAGUGAGGGACGUGUCCCUUUUUGUAGGUACUGUAUGAAUAAGGACCGGCUAAUUCCGUGCCAGCAGCCGCGGUAAUACGGAAGGUCCGGGCGUUAUCCGGAUUUAUUGGGUUUAAAGGGAGCGCAGGCUGAUGAUUAAGCGUGACGUGAAAUGUAGCCGCUCAACGGCUGAACUGCGUCGCGAACUGGUUAUCUUGAGUGAGUUCGAUGUUGGCGGAAUUCGUGGUGUAGCGGUGAAAUGCUUAGAUAUCACGAAGAACUCCGAUUGCGAAGGCAGCCAACAAGGCCUUUACUGACGCUAAAGCUCGAAGGUGCGGGUAUCGAACAGGAUUAGAUACCCUGGUAGUCCGCACGGUAAACGAUGGAUGCCCGCUGUUUGCGAUAUACUGUGAGCGGCCAAGAGAAAUCGUUAAGCAUCCCACCUGGGGAGUACGCCGGCAACGGUGAAACUCAAAGGAAUUGACGGGGGCCCGCACAAGCGGAGGAACAUGUGGUUUAAUUCGAUGAUACGCGAGGAACCUUACCCGGGCUUGAACUGCAGGAGAACGAUACAGAGAUGUUGAGGCCCUUCGGGGCUCCUGUGGAGGUGCUGCAUGGUUGUCGUCAGCUCGUGCCGUGAGGUGUCGGCUUAAGUGCCAUAACGAGCGCAACCCUUUUCAUUAGUUGCCAUCAGGUAAUGCUGGGCACUCUGGUGAUACUGCCACCGUAAGGUGUGAGGAAGGUGGGGAUGACGUCAAAUCAGCACGGCCCUUACGUCCGGGGCUACACACGUGUUACAAUGGGGGGUACAGAAGGC